CCUACGGGUGACAGCAGUGAGGAAUAUUGGUCAAUGGGCGCGAGCCUGAACCAGCCAAGUAGCGUGAAGGAUGACUGCCCUACGGGUUGUAAACUUCUUUUAUAAAGGAAUAAAGUGAGGCACGUGUGCCUUUUUGUAUGUACUUUAUGAAUAAGGAUCGGCUAACUCCGUGCCAGCAGCCGCGGUAAUACGGAGGAUGCGAGCGUUACCCGGAUUUAUUGGGUUUAAAGGGAGCGUAGAUGGGUUGUUAAGUCAGUUGUGAAAGUUUGCGGCUCAACCGUAAAAUUGCAAUUGAUACUGGCAGCUUUGAGUACUGUUGAGGGAGGCGGAAUUCGGGGGGUAGGGGGGAAA
rnacentral:rRNA from 1 species